AUCGAUUGGGCGAAUCGAUAAAAUAAAAUCAAAUUCGAUUAAAAAUGGCUACAGCCGACUAAUCGAUAUAUUCCAAACGAAUCUUGUCAAAGCUAAUUAGUUUAAUGGAACGUUAUCUUUUUGAUGUAAUUACUUGAGUUUAUCAUAAAUUAUUGAAUUAUUUGGCAGUAUUUAGAGGAAAUCUGAUGCCUGAUGGUCUGAUCGACAAUGAAUUAUCCCCUUAAAUGGAGUACUAACACGAAAUAUAACAAAUUAAAGUUUAAAAAUGGAUUAUUUUGAAAAUCGAUUCUCAUCUAAUUAUCUGCCAAUAAUUUAUAAUUUAAUAGUCUAUCAUGACCUUUGCUUUCAAUUAAAAUGAUUAAAAUUUAACGUACUUGAAUUACAAUGAUGAUGUGCUGAAACAACAAUUGGAGUGUAAUUAAUGACAAAAGCUGCUUUGGAUAUUAACGCGUUCAGUAAAUAACAAAUAAACUCGGAACACAGGUGGUAAAUGAAUGAAAUACGCGGGAUUGUGAAAGAUUAAUAAAAUUCAAACAUGAAAAGAUGAAACUGGAGGGCACCACUGGUCGUUGUUGAUUUCAUUAUCACUUCAUACUUCUUUAACAACUGAGCAACAGUACGCUUUAUCCACAAUGGAUGCUGAUGCCGUUUUAUUUCGUCAAAAACACAAGGAGAGUACGUGUUCAGGAUUAUUUAUAAAACGUAAAAUCACACAAAAAGGUAAGAAACACAACUCCAUUACUUUCACAACAUUUUUCAUCUGAUCUACGUUACCAUUAUCCUAACGUAAUAUUGAAUGUCAUCACCGAAGACAUAGUAGCCUAGGUUGAUC